CAGAAAUAUCUAUUAUUUAAAACUUAGCUCACCCUUACUUAUAGAAAACGAAUAAUAAUUAUAAAAAGAAGGCGAUUUGAUUUUUUUUCACACUUCCCAUGUCCCAAUGUGACGUGAUGGUUAAGUAACGAGAAUUGUUGCCUACAUGUUUUCUCAUUCCUUGUGUGAGAUUUAAAAAAAAAAAAAAAAAAAAAACACACACACACACACACACAAAAAAAACGGGAUCAAUUUUCACACUUAAUAAAUAUUAGUAAAUGUUCCUGUUAACAAAAAAAGCCGAGGUGCAUGUUUGUAUGGGAAUAUUAGGUGUGUUCGGUAGGAGAAAACAAUUAACUCGUGUAAAAAGUGUGUACUAGGGCGGAAGUAAAAAAUUGUUAGCGCAUGUUUAAUCCCGCUAAUAGCCUACAAAAUAUUUGUACUUAACAGUACCACCACCACCACCACCAAAAACAACAACAUGAACAACAACAGGAACAACAACAACAACAACAACAACAAUAAUAAUAAUAAUAAUAAUAAUAAUAAUAAUAAUAAUAAUAAUAAUCUUGAGAUAUAUUACCCCAUUUCCCCACUAGACACUAAAUUUCUCUUUAAAAAUGGAUAAAACACGCCGCAUGUUUUUACAUGAACAAACCACUAGGUGUCGCCAAGCAUCGCGGAACUGCUUUCCACUGACCCAGAUUUAAUUUUCCUUAAUUUGAAAUAAAACUAUGACGUGUUCAAAUAAAAAAAAAAGACAGCUUUAGUUGCUGGCCAGUUCUGCCAUAACUGCACGAUAUAUUUACUUUUAAAUGACUGUUGCUCGUCAUACAUUUGACCUGAUGACCAGAGAGCCGCUGUGCACACCAACGCACAGAGAUCUCAUAAGCUGUAACAUACAAUUUUAAUAAAAUAUACUGCAUCUAAAAAGGUCACCUGCAAAGAAAUAAUAUUUUGCCAAAUAAAAAUGUUAUCAUAUAAUUAGACCGAAAAUAUAUGACACCAGUAACGUUUGUGAUAGGCAACAAUAAAAAACAAACAAACAAAAAAAAACGUAAACAUGAUAACAGCAUGAACACACGCACACACACACACACACACACACACACACACACACACACACAAAAGGCUUAUCUGUAUCUGCAUGCAUAUAUUUAGCGCGUGCAUUUUGCAACCUGAAUAAAGUGUUAAAAUAAUAUAGACUUGUAUUUCUACUGUUCACAUAUCGAUUUCCAAUCCGGGUAUCUGUCCUACGUGAUCUCUAAACGAAAUUACAGUGCACUAUUUUUGCCACGACUCAAGAAAAGACCAAAAUAAACCAGAAUUACAUGUUAUAUUGCUCUCUGAAAACGACUAAAACGGUUAAAAAGUUGUUUUUUUUAUUCUGUUUUUCAGAACUACAAAGGAUACCUGUAUGAUAUUUCAUUCAGAUUCAUAUAAAUUAUUCCGACUAAGAAGAAAAUAUAGUCGAGAAAAGAUACCCUAGAAUUAAAUAAUAAUUAAUUUAAAAAAAUAGUCAUCAUAAAAACUUCCCGAUUGAAAUACGACCUUGCGCGACAAGAUGGCUUCAUUAUUUAACAGUAGCUGUGUGAUUUCAUGACUGUGAUUUCCUGUAGGCUACUAGAAAAUAGUGAAAGCAGCGAAGGAAAUGGUGAAUAAGACUUUUAACGGUAGGAGAAGCAUGAGCAUUAAGAAUUCCCAAGCAAACAUAUCAACAUAGUCUACUAAUUUAAAAAAAAAUAACAUGAAAUGUGGCUGAAUAGCCAUGAUCUGAGUGACUGAUGCUCGCAGUGGUCGAAUUGGUUAAGUUUUUCAUAAUAGUUCAGUCACUUUUAAAUUCUUUUAUGGCUGAAAGACAAGUCAGUGUGUGUGUGUGUGUGUGUGUGUGUGUGUGUAGGCCUAUAUGCGGGUGUCUAAGUACGUAAACUACAUGGAGUUAUGAAACUGAAGGAUUUGGUUAGAAUUAAAUGUGUAUGCAUGUAUGUAUGUCUAUGUAGCAUAUUGUGGGGGAAAACCGCUGAAAAGAUAUCCCUCAUCCUCGUUUUGUUUUAGCUCAUUUCCCCCCGCUUUUUUAGGUGGGACAAGCGCCUUCCUAUUCUAAUUGCAUUGUAAAUAUGCAUCACCAUGAUAAUGGGGUCGCGCGCAGGCGUAGCCCCGCCGCUCACGUGCGCUUCACAACUUCGGGCCCUCUCACUGCGUGUAGAUGGAGGACGGGGUCAGAGGAUAAACUAGCUUACAAGUAAAGUUCAAUUUCUCUCGGUAACAAACAAGGAGACGCAACUGGGCUUGUCCCGAAAAUAUGCAUGAGCCUAGCAACACGCGUGCAUAUAGGACAGCACGUGUCUCGAGCCGCCUGGGAUGAAAAUCUUUACGUGUGCCCGUCUGGCCACUUCUAUUGGGUGCCACCUCAGCUGAGCAGCUCGGAGCAAAGGUGCAUAAACUGAAGAGCGCUUAGACACGCACAAAAAAAAAGUUCCGGAGAUGCGUGUUGCCUCGAGUGUCAGCGUGCAAAAGGGUAGAUUAUUAAUGGGCGGCGGACACUAAGCGUUGGUUUUAAGGGUAAGUGUGACGCAAAAUGAUGUGUCUGUUCAUAUGAAGUUAAAUGCCUUAGUUAAGGGUUGAGCCUGCAACCGAUGACUGAUUACUGAUUUCUUGCUAUCAGAGGAUAGGAAACAGAAUCAUUAUCCAUCCUGUGCGGUGGAGCUAUGAAUACUUGAGUCGUCAAUACAUGCGCUGUAGUCAGUGCAUUUGCAUAUGACGUGUAAUUAUGCAGUUAUAGCAGUCUAAUACAGCCGGGAUGUGCAGACAGUAUGUUUCACACAGACUCCUUAUACGAUUGCUUUUUUUAAAAUAGAUAAAUAAUAAUAAUAAUAAUAAUAAUAAUAAUAAUAAUAAUAAUAAUAAUAAUGAUAAUAAUAAUAAUACAUUUCUAGCAGUUACUUCAAUGAAUCUUGCGUAGGCUAUAUAGGCCUCAUAUAUAGAGUAUAACUCAUAUGGUGUUACGUGAUCAUGCAAAAUGAUGCAAAUUGUUACUAAACGCGUGUUGUUCUUUUGUUCGGCCGUCUUUGUUAGUACACGUAUUUGUGCAUGUAGUGCAUGGGUUUGAAUAGUGUAACUCUAAUGAAUUUUUAUAAUAGAUGUUGGCGAAUCCGAGACUUUAUGAAAUCGCAUUUCUAAUGCAUAGAAUAUAAAGCAAAACAAAGAAGAAGAAGAAAAAAAGAGCAUUCUGAACCUACCGCUCGCCUAACAUGCUGCUGUUUUAAACAAAAAGGGAAAUGAAGAAAACAACACAGCCACAGCCACUGUGAAUGCAAAAGAGAUGCAAAUAUACCUUUUACAUAUGCAUCAAUAUUUAAAAUAACACACAUGUUGGAAGCGUCUGCAGCGAUGAACCGAGCGGUGUCUCAGUGCGCGCGGGCGCCAGUCUUCGCUCCUUCAGCGCGCGCUCCGGAUCCUCACCAUGCAGAUGCUCGCCAUAUUCAAAACAAUAAACAAACACACAUACAUACACACACACACGCACACACCAAAAAACACACACAAUACGCGCCUAUUCUCUUCAAAUGGAAAACGAGCCUCUUCGGAUCCGACGAGGGUAAAAUUUACUCCGAGCGCUGAUAGAAAGGCGACGUAAGGGGAUUUGCAUAUUUGAUGCGCUAAUUUCCUUGAUGUAUUUAAAUAUGGCUGCGCGUAGCAGAGCGGCUUGUCUACGUCACUGGACGUGACCUCGUUGUUAAAUCUAAACGCGAAUCCGCUUGCAAUCAUGGAGAAUUAGAAAGAGGGACAGAAUUACGCGUUGUAACGUCAUUACUAAUUUUCUAAUACAAAAAUAGCUUAUUUAAAAAAAAAAUUAAAUAAAAAACAGUUGAACUUGAACUUGACAUUCAAUACGCUUGCGUAUGUGAUGAGAAAAAAUACAGGUAACAUAAUAAUAAUAAUAAUAAUAAUAAUAAUAAUAAUAAUAAUAAUAAUGUGGGAUGGUCUAAUAAUAGGCUUAUUAAAAGGUUAUGCAUUACACAGUCCGCACUUUUAUUGAAGGAAUGUUCACUUAUUAGUGCCAAGGCCUCUCGCGUGCUUUCUUUUUUAAUGAAUAAAUGAAUGAACAUAGUAUGUGCUUGGUGUCUUAUGACUAAACUUAGACUUCUUGCUCUUUUUUUUUUUUUUUUUUAAAGCGAUGCUUUCUCUUGACAGUAUGUGUUUUUUUUCUCCCUGCUCUAAUAAUGUCCUCGCUGUGUAUAAAGACGGCGAGCGCGUUCCGUCAGUCCGCUCGUGUGGGGCAGAAAAAAAAAGCUCGAGGCAAAUUCAUUAGCGCAGUCAGUGCGUAACCUGCUCUGGGAAACUGGGGGGCUACAGUCCACGCCAAUAAGGGGAACAAUGGCUCCUCAGUUCAAAUCCAACAAAAGACCUGGCCAACUUGUUUGAAUUUCCGAGCACGUCCUUUCUUUCUAUCACAGAGAAGGAGAGGUGCCCCCCUCUUCUGCUGACCCCCUCCCAACACCCCCCAUCUACCCCCACCCUAACACUAAAAAAAAUAAAAUAUAUAUUUUUUAAAUCAUUCCAUGCCAACCCUUCUCCGCUCAACACUGCACUUUUUCCCAUUUGGUGCCGUAGACAAAUAGGUUAUGGGAAACUUCUCGACCCCUCCUCUCUGACCCCCCCCCCCCCCCGUACACCCCCCCAUCUCGCGCUGUCUCUCAGUCUCUCACACACUCUCGCGCUGUCUCUAGCGCGCGUGGACUUACCGGAGCAGGGAAGCACGCGUAAUGAGCUAAGUGUUAGCGGCAAUUUUGAACCACACGCGCACAGGAUGGACUCGUUAGUGAGACGGCGUUUUGCGCACCGGCAACGGAUACUGAAUGUUUGGAAAGACGCUUGGACAGAAAGAGCCGGGAAAUAUGACCAUAACUGUCCGGCGGAAGCGAGUGAGGCGAAAUGGAGCUGUCUAAAAUAAAAUCCAGCAAUAAAAUCCAGCAUAAGUGUGGGCGUUGUCUCUGACUGAGAAUAAUGCUACGAAAAGAAAAAAGGUGAAGAGAGAUGGGAGAUGAGGUCAAAUAAAAGAUGGAUUGCUCACUGUGCUGAGAGUAAAGGUUAAGAGCAUCAAUGGAUGAUGACUUCAACCCAUUUAUAGAUAUGCCCUGGAUCUGAGGGAUGGAUGAAUUGUCUUCUUUGAGAGUUUCCCAGAUUAUGUGUAUUGGUUUGUGGAGUGCAGACCAUAUACUAUAGCAGCUGGAAUUUUAAUAAAUUCACAGUAGCAUCUGGAUUGACACAAGAUACAUGCCUUGAAUGUUGUAUACAAGUGAAGUCACUAUGCAAAGUGUGAUUGUACAGCCUUCUCCUUGCACAAAUAUUUUGGAUCAAAAUUUACUUGAAUAUGUUUGCACUAUGAAGUUUAUUUAUACAAUAAAUUGUUUAUUUUUCUAGAAGGACAUUGCAGUGUGUGAUUUGUUUUUCUGAAUUGUAGAUGAUGGAAUUUCUAAUACGGUGGAUAUUAAAAUGAUCAGUCUUAGGUCGACUGAAAUGGUAAAUGUGGCUCAAUCAUUAUUUCACCAAGAGAGUGCUACACUUGAAGUUAUUGUUACAUUUAUAUAAUUUAGUAGCUACUGUGAUUCCUGUUGGUUUGAAAUCAUAGUAAGGUAACCUUCACAGUUAAAAGGGUCCAUUCAUAUUUGUUCAUACAGUACAUUCCCAUUUUACUUAAUGUUGCCUCUCUGUUGGCCAUGUCGUCCCAUAACAUUGCAGUCAUCUUUGAUUGACUGACAUGUUACUGGUGUUAUGAGAAUUACCGCACAUACAGUGUAUUUUUGCAAUAUGACACUUUACUCUACCUUCUAGCCUAUGCAGUAGGCAAAUAAAUCCUAAGAAAUAAUGAUAGAAUAUAUAAAUAGAAUUUACAUAAAGAAAUAAAAUAUGUCCCAGGCUUAUUCUGACACCCACAAUGUGCUGCUGAGAUUUGAUUGACAUGGACAUAUCACAUAUGGCAAUAGGAUUUCAGGCCAUGAUGGAAUUUUAUUGUCUAGCUGCACUUUUUGUUCCCUCCCCCGAAAAAAAAAAUGACACUUUUGACAAAUCAUAAUGAGAAUAAGUUAAGCCAAGGAGAAAGACCAAAUUCACAAUUCAGGAGUAAUGUAAGUGUGCCAUUUGCAAGGAAUUGCAUCAGGAAGAGGUUCAGACACUCAGAGCCGUGUGUCUUGAGGUAGGACGAGACCAGAUCAGACAUUCUACCCCCUCCUUCUGUGUCACACAGUGUGUAUCACAUGGGAGCCUUGCUGUACACCUGAACACAAAGCCGGCCAUUGUGUGUGUGGAACUGUGGGCCUGACCUCAGAGUCAUGUGACCAGGCUCUGGCCAGGUGUUGCCUGAAUCUGGAACAGUGAACAGCUUCAUUCUCAUGACUAAAAGGGACAAAGAGAUGUAAGCAGCAUGAUAAUGAACCGUGAGUGACUGGAACAAAAGUGUGUGUGUGUGUGUGAGUGUGUGUGUGUGUGUGUGUGUGUGUGUGUGUGUGUGCGUGUGUGUGCGUGUGCUUCUGUGUGCCUUUCAUUCUGUACGAUUUAAUACCCCCCAAAAAAACAAAACAGCUUGGUCGACACUAAAUGUACUUGACUUUUAAUGAAAAUAAUAACCUUACUUUCCAGUUACUUUAGCCAGAAAAAUCUUUCUGAAAUCCUGUAAAUGAAAAUAAGGACAACUUCAAAAUGACUGGCACUACCCUAAUCACAUUAAGCAGCCAGAUUGAGGGAUUUCUAUCGUCAAUCUCUGAUGAUUGAUGUGCCAUGUUCAGUUAUGAAUCACAGAUCUUCCCAGAACUGGUGCUGGUUAGCCCCAGCACAAUUGGAUUGGGCCAAAAGCAUGUGAAACCACAAAACGCCAGAGAAGCCUUGUAACAGAAUCACUUAGGAUUGAUCUGAAAUAAACAAGAAACAAAGAGACCCGAUCAUUUUUUUUUCUCGGGUGACACUUGAAUUUGCACAAAAAAGAAAUCAACCGAAAAAGCUUUUAAGGCCAAAGUAAGUGACCUUGGAAGGCUUGGGAGAGGUAUUUAACUUUUAAACUCCAUUACCUACUGCAAGAGUCAGUUCUGCAGGGUUUUUUUUUUCUUUUUUUCUUUUUUCAGGAAAAAGUAAAGCACAGUGCAGUAUUUCACUUUUAUCUCCAGAUAGCAGGUCUUUGUGUUAUCUUAUUCUUAUUGGGAAAGAGGGCAGAAAAGUGAAAGGGGGAGAAAAAAAAAAGACUAAGGCAACCUGCACUCCCUGUGGACGCUGAGAUACCAAACACCUCCAUUCCAAACUUUUCCAACUUUCAUGCAAGAGAAAUGAAGCCCUGUUGUACUGUAAGAGAAUCUGCUUUUUCACUUCAGCUACAGACAAACAGUAGGAUGUGUUAGAACAGCCAAGAAUAUGCCAUUGAAGCGGGGACCAUUUUUGUGAGUGUGUGUGUGUGUGUGUGUGUGUGUUUGUGAAAGUGAAAGCAGGCAGCCUACAAUAAAGAGAGCUUUUAGAGAAAGAACUGUGUAACAUAUUCCCAGUGUGUCUGUCUGCUCGUCAGGAUUCACAGACAUGCCAGGUGAUGUCCUCCAAAGUGCAGAUCUGCCAAUAUGAUGGGCCCCAGUGACAGUAUAUACACACACAUACAUAUACACAGCACACUGAUUUUCCACAGAUGGGUGGCAGUGGCCUCUGAGGUUGUUCUCUCCUUCAGUCUGACGUGUGAUGUGUUUCAUGGCACAGCUCGAGGAAUCAUGGCAGAGGUGGAUAUGACACCCGUUCCUCAUGCUCAUGCCUGAGUGUGAAGAGGAGCCCGGUAUAGUUCCAUCUGUUUUUCUACUCGCCACUUGUUUUUACUCUUGCCAUGGGAGCAAUCCGACGAUCCGUAGAUUUUGUUUGAUGCAUGUGCGCAUUUGCACACCUAUGUAUAUGUGUGUUUGUGCAUCUCAUGCCGCUGUGUCUCUUUGUGCUUUGAAGCUUGCUAGAUAGUGAUUGAUUCAGAAGUAUAGAUACAGCACAGUGUGGGAGUCUCCAGAGAGGCAGAAAACCAUCAAGCUGAAGCACAAGGCCAGUCAUCUCGCUCUCUCUCUCCCUUCACAUUUUCACUGAUAUGUAACAUUGGUGUUUAUUGCUGCAAAAACACACUGGUGUCUUGAUGUAUUUGUGUGUUUAUACUGGGCUGUGACAUGCCAGCUUUACUGCCUCGUAGGACUGGCUUCUGGUUCACUGAGUUCACUGUGCUUUGAGAGACAACAUCAUGCAACAAAGAGUGGUUAGUUAUUAUUUUUUUAAGUCAAUGGAAAUAGCGGGUUAAAUGAUAUUAAGCAAUCAAAAAGAUGCACAAGAUACAAGCAUACAAAGCAGUAACUUAUCCUACUAACUUCAUUGUCUAAUUAAUGUGACAUGAAUAGUUUUUCUCCAUACCUACCCUAGUAAUGUUCACUUUUAUUUAGCUAACAUUGAAAUUAAAAUAACAGCAUUCUGCCCCAUUAAACAAAGAUCAACAGUGGCCAUAUAUACACUGAUCAGCCAUAACAUUAAAACCAUCUGCCGAAUAUUGUGUAGGUGCCACCAAAAAAACUCUGAACCAUCGAGGCAUAGACUCCACAAGACCUCUGAAAAGUGUGCUGUGGUAUCUGGUACCAAGACAUUAGCAGCAGAUCCGCAUUUAUGUCCUUGCAAGGUGUGAGGUGGGGCCUCCAUGGAUCAGACUUGUUUGUCCAAGACAUCCAAAC
ensembl:lncRNA